rnacentral:lncRNA from 1 species
AAUCUAGGCUAUUUGAGUGGUAAUUGACAUAAAAAGAUUUGGGGCUAGUAGAGUCAUAAGAGAAAUCAGAGACAUUCAAGAAACAGAGCGUCGACCAAUAGAUAACUACCUGGACUCGCGCUCGAGCACUGAAGAGAAAUUUGAAGUCGAACACUGGCACUUGCUUGGCGCCACCUGCCAGCUUGAGUGGCGGGCUAUCAUUCACUUGGCAUCUACCUAGCGCUCAAGGGACAGUAUUAUCUGGCCAAAAUUCUGUUUUGAUUUUAGUGCUGAUUUUGAAACCCAUUAUAUCCUAAACACUUCCUACAAUAAAUAUAAAAUCACAUGUCCGUUCCAAAGAGUAUUGAAUCAUUAGUAUACUUUAGAGAUCACAUUCUUUAAGAUCCAAAACAUAUUCCAAAGAUCUCUUGAUUCAACCCAUGAUCAUUGAUUAUAAAUUCAUCCCAAAACACAUUAUAUUAUUGGGAAAACCUUGUUAUAAGUCAAGAGAUUAUCCUUUAAAAUCGAAAUACACAUUCCAAUAAAUCUUGCAUCGGCCUACAGAAAACACAAAAGAUCCUUUGAUCAAACAUCAAAACGAAAUCCUACCUUUGCUAAUUAGCCAUUAGAGUUCUAGAGUUUUGGGAAGAGGUGCUUGGAGUUUCAAUGCUCAAGGAUGAGGUUUGUUCUUGUCGAUACACAUGAAGAGAAAAGUAGCUCAAAGUUUUGAGAAGUGUGGAAGUCCACUAUCAGAAGAGUUCCUUGGUGAUUUACAAGCUAGAUGGCUAGAGUCAGCUAAGCCACCUAAGGUUUAGCGAUAUCUAGACUAAUUGUAAGUUAAUUUUUCUAGUGGAUUUUAAUGGUAAAUUCGCCCG